rnacentral:lncRNA from 1 species
GCGGUGCUAUGGCUGGACGCUGAAUGCCUUGGACCUUAUAAGAUCGUUGCAGAAAACCUGGGUUUUUCUUUGCAAACAAGCUCAUUCAAAGAUGCAUUGGUCAUUGUCAAUUGCGCCAUAAAUGUGGAUGCAAGAAAACAGUUUGUGGAGGAAGCAGUUCCGGGAAGUAUUAACAUUCCUUUUGCAACCAUCGACUUUGGAGGUGCAGAUUCAGACUCAUCACCAUUACCUCCAAGCCCAGAACUCAGCAUAUUAUACAACAAUAAAGGAAAGUAGUAAUCAUCAUUGGUGAGGAAGCAGCCAGUGCAGCCAAGGUAAGUUAGCUUGGGUUGUUCUUAAAAUGUGUGUGAUUUCAGGAACCUUAGUGCUCUUUACAGUACCCGGCAUGUAAAGUGGAACAUCUUCUUAAUGGAAUGUAAGGAUAAAAAUAGGCUGUUUCAAAUAUCACGGUUUUAUUAUAAUAAAAUCUGCUGCAUUGGAGUAUGGAGUGCCUCUGUCUAUUCCUGUCCCUAAUACCUGGACCAAAUUUCAGCCCUCCCAGGUAACUAGGGUAGAGGUAGCAGUUGGACGUAUUUAUGCUGAAAGGAACAAUGCGCCAUUUUCAGAUUUUUCAGUGGAGCAAGUUUUACUAAAACCAUUGGCGUUAUUUCCUUACUAAUGGACCUGACUGUUAAGCGAGAUGUAAGGGAUUUUGCACGUAGGUCCAUUUGAUUUAAUGCGCUAUCCUGGAUACUGAAUUAAAUCAAAAGGAACCAUAUCCAGUUGGUCGACGCGCGUGCGGCGGAGAUUCGUGGAAACUAGGUAUUGGGGGUAUUUUUGAACGAGAAACUUGAAUUUCUAGUCAAAUUUUGAAAAGUCGAAAAUCCAAGAUGGCGGACGUGGCCUAAAAUGCUACCUCGGUUCCUGUCCAGUCGAUCUUGGUGAUACUUGGUAAAGGGGGGGGGGGAUUUUUCGACGGAAAACUCGAAUUUUUGGCCAAAUUUCGAAAAUCUAAGAUGAUGGAUGUGGCCCAAUCCCAAUAUGCUAUCUCCUAUUUAAACCGACGAACUAAACGUCUGGAAUGGCCGCCAGAUAGAGAACCUGUGUAACGCGCAUGGGCCGGGUUUUAAAGCCUGGAGGGGGGUGGGAGCCCAAGUCAUUAGGAUUACAUUUGAGAAUUCCGCUUUUAUAUACUUAUAUUAUUUUUAGGUGCACCUUUAAUGCUCCUAUUUUUCGAGUAGAGAAGACCGCGUGAGAUGCGAUUUUGAUGCCAUAUUUUCAUUGCUAUCGCUUUAAUCAACAAUAUUCGGCAAAAUGUGGGCAGUGUUUAACAUAGAUUCAGAUGGCAGCUGCAGUGAGAGCCCAAGUAAACCUAACCUAAUUAAUUUCAAAGUGUUACGCAGUGUUUGUAUUAGUCAGCCAAUCUAGGUGUUUAGUUUGUUGAUUUAAAUGCGCAUCGCCAAAAAAUCCAAGAUGUCUUUUGGGACUUCCGGGAGAUCCCCUGUUUAAUGGUCACAUAUCGACCGCUCGUCCCCUCUGUCCUGAUCGAUGUCAGUGCAUGGACGAUGGAAGUAAACAAAUCCAUCGGAAUCACUCCAUUUUCAUUAAAAUCACUGUCAGGUACUUAAUUGGAAUCGGAACAGUAUUUAGAGAUUCGUGAGUAUUUAGAGCGCCCUAGAAGGAAUGCGUGAUCGAAAGUGUGACCGUCACAUAUUUGUAUGGGAAAAAUAGGCAUAUUUUGAGCUGAAAAAUCGAUCCUGAAAGUUAAGUAUGUUAACUUCCGAACACCCUGCAAGGUGCACUUGAAGUGACUUAUUAACAACUUUUAAUGUACAUCAAAAUUCAAGUUGGAGGUUGUAGUGGGGAUUACCCUGAUGUGUUUUUGGGCAAUGGAGAUGUUGCAUGUGUGAGGGAUUUGCGAUUUGACUGUUGUUUCUUAUGUAAAAGUUCGCGAGAAACACGAUGGUGC